rnacentral:rRNA from 1 species
GAUGAACGCUGGCGGCGUGCCUAACACAUGCAAGUCGAACGAAGCACCUUACCUGAUUCUUCGGAUGAAAGUUUGGUGACUGAGUGGCGGACGGGUGAGUAACGCGUGGGUAACCUGCCCUGUACAGGGGGAUAACAGCUGGAAACGGCUGCUAAUACCGCAUAAGCGCACGAGGAGACAUCUCCUUGUGUGAAAAACUCCGGUGGUACAGGAUGGGCCCGCGUCUGAUUAGCUGGUUGGCAGGGUAACGGCCUACCAAGGCAACGAUCAGUAGCCGGUCUGAGAGGAUGAACGGCCACAUUGGAACUGAGACACGGUCCAAAUUCCUACGGGAGGCAGCAGUGGGGAAUAUUGCACAAUGGGGGAAACCCUGAUGCAGCAACGCCGCGUGAGUGAAGAAGUAUUUCGGUAUGUAAAGCUCUAUCAGCAGGGAAGAUAAUGACGGUACCUGACUAAGAAGCUCCGGCUAAAUACGUG